rnacentral:rRNA from 1 species
UACGUAGGGUGCGAGCGUUGUCCGGAAUUAUUGGGCGUAAAGAGCUCGUAGGCGGUGUGUCACGUCUGCCGUGAAAACUUGCAGCUUAACUGUGGGCGUGCGGUCGAUACGGGCAUCCCUGGAGUUCGGCAGGGGAGACUGGAAUUCCUGGUGUAGCGGUGAAAUGCGCAGAUAUCAGGAGGAACACCGGUGGCGAAGGCGGGUCUCUGGGCCGAUACUGACGCUGAGGAGCGAAAGCGUGGGGAGCAAACAGG